AGAGUUUAUGGGGGAUACCUUGGCAUUCAGAAGCGAUGAAGGACGCGGUUACCAGCGAAAUGCUUCGGGUAGUUGGAAACAAGCUAUGAUCCGGAGGUCUCCGAAUGAGGAAACUUUUUAUACUACUUAUUGAAUAUAUAGAUAAGAAAGAGCGAACCUAGGGAACUGAAACAUCUUAGUACCUAGAGGAAAAGAAAGUAAAAAACGAUUCCCUUAGUAGCGGCGAGCGAAUUGGGAGAAGCCUAAACUUAAUUUUAUUAAGGGUAGUGGGACAAUUGUUAAUCGAUUAGGACAGUUAGAUGAACAAGUUGGAAUACUUGACCAAAGAAAGUGAUAGUCUUGUAAUCGAAAAUUGAAAUAAUCAAAUUGAAUCCCAAGUAGCAUGGAGCACGUGAAAUUCCGUGUGAAUCUACGAGGACCACCUCGUAAGGCUAAAUAUUCCUGAAUGACCGAUAGUGAACAGUACCGUGAGGGAAAGGUGAAAAGAACCCCGGGAGGGGAGUGAAAAGAACAUGAAACCAUAAACUUACAAUCAGUAGAAGGACGACUAAAACGUCUGACUGCGUGCCUGUUGAAGAAUGAGCCGGCGACUUAUAGGUAGUGGCAGGUUAAGGCAGAGAAUGCCGGAGCCAUAGUGAAAGCGAGCCUGAAUAGGGCAUAUGUCACUGGUUAUAGACCCGAACCCGGAUGAUCUAACCAUGGUCAGGUUGAAGCUUAGGUAAUACUAAGUGGAGGACCGAACCGACUGAUGUUGAAAAAUCAGCGGAUGAACUGUGGUUAGGGGUGAAAUGCCAAUCGAAUUCGGAGCUAGCUGGUUCUCCCCGAAAUGCGUUUUGGCGCAGCGAUAAAUGUUAUAACUUAGGGGUAAAGCACUGUUACGUAUGCGGGCUGGUAAUUCGGUACCAAAUCGUUGCAAACUAAUAAUACUAAGUGGAAAGUUUAUCAGUGAGACUGUGGGGGAUAAGCUCCAUUGUCAAGAGGGAAACAGCCCAGAGCACCAGUUAAGGCCCCUAAAUAAUUACUAAGUGAUAAAGGAGGUGGGAGUGCAUAGACAAUCAGGAGGUUUGCUUAGAAGCAGCAAUCCUUUAAAGAGUGCGUAAUAGCUCACUGAUCGAGUAAACCUGCGCCGAAAAUGUACGGGACUAAGUAAUUUGCCGAAACUGUGCGAUAUAUUUUGAAUAUAUCGGUAGGGGAGCGUUCUGUUGUAGAUUGAAGUAUUAACGUAAGUGGAUAUGGACGAAGCAGAAGUGAGAAUGUCGGCUUGAGUAACGAAAAUAUAGGUGAGAAUCCUAUACCCCGAAAACCCAAGGUUUCCUCCGGAAGGCUCGUCCGCGGAGGGUAAGUCAGGACCUAAGGCGAGGCUGAAAAGCGUAGUCGAUGGACAACGGGUUAAUAUUCCCGUACCAUUAUUUAUUGAUAACGAAGGACGGAGAAGGCUAAACUGACCGGAUAUUGGUUACCGGUUUAAACGUUCGAGGUGUUGAGAAACGGAGAAAACGUUUUGAGCUAAGGCGUGAAUACGAGAUGCUACGGCAUUGAAGCAGUGUAUGUCAGACUUCCAAGAAAAGCUCGCAAUGUCAUAAAUAAAUAAUGCCUGUACCAUAACCGACACAGGUGGGUAGGUAGAGUAUACUAAGGGGCGCGAGAUAACUCUCUCUAAGGAACUCGGCAAAAUGACUCCGUAACUUCGGGAGAAGGAGUGCCUUAUUUAUAAGGUUGCAAUAACAAGAUCCAAGCAACUGUUUACCAAAAACACAGGUCUCCGCUAAGUCGUAAGACGAUGUAUGGGGGCUGACGCCUGCCCAGUGCCAGAAGGUUAAAGAAGUUGGUUAGCACUUGCGAAGCUGAUAACUGAAGCCCUGGUGAACGGCGGCCGUAACUAUAACGGUCCUAAGGUAGCGAAAUUCCUUGUCGGGUAAGUUCCGACCCGCACGAAAGGCGUAAUGAUUUGGAUACUGUCUCAGAGAGGGGCUCGGUGAAAUAGACUUGUCUGUGAAGAUGCGGACUACCUGCACCUGGACAGAAAGACCCUAUGAAGCUUUACUGUAACUUGAAAUUGAAAUUGGACUUUAUUUGCGCAGUAUAGGUGGGAGGCAUUGAAUUAAUUCUUGCGGGAAUUUAGGAGCCAUCAGUGAGAUACCACUCUGGUAAUGUUAGAUUUCUAACUUUGUAUCAUAAUCUGGUCAAAGAACAGUUUCAGGCGGGCAGUUUGACUGGGGCGGUCGCCUCCCAAAUGGUAACGGAGGCGUACAAAGGUUUCCUCUGAACGUGUAGAAAUCGUAUCUAGAGUGUAAAGGCAUAAGGAAGCUUGACUGUGAGACUUACAAGUCGAGCAGGGACGAAAGUCGGUCUUAGUGAUCUGACGGUACUGAGUGGAAAGGCCGUCACUCAACGGAUAAAAGUUACUCUAGGGAUAACAGGCUGAUCUCCCCCAAGAGUUCACAUCGACGGGGAGGUUUGGCACCUCGAUGUCGGCUCAUCGCAUCCUGGGGCGGUAGUACGUCCCAAGGGUUGGGCUGUUCGCCCAUGAAAGCGGUACGCGAGCUGGGUUCAGAACGUCGUGAGACAGUUCGGUCCAUAUCCGGUGUAGGCGUUAGAAUAUUGAGAGGAGCCUUCUUUAGUACGAGAGGACCGAGAAGGACAUACCUCUGGUGUACCAGUUAUCAUGCCAAUGGUAAACGCUGGGUAGCUAUGUAUGGAGAGGAUAACCGCUGAAAGCAUCUAAGUGGGAAGCCCACCUCAAGAUAAGUAUUCUCAUCACGUAAGUGAGUAAGGUCACGGGAAGACUACCCGUUUGAUAGGCAUUAAGUGUAAAUAUAGUAAUAUAUGAGCUGAGAUGUCCUAAUAGACCGAGGACUUGAAUUUGUAGAUAGUUACUAAUAUUUCUAGUAACUAUCUUUUGCUUUGGUGUUUUUAGUGUACUAAGCGGACCCACACUGAACCAUCUCGAACUCAGUUGUGAAACGUUAUAAAUCGACGACAAUACUUGAAGGGGGACCUUCUGGGAAGAUAGUUCAAUGCCAAAGUUUUUAUUUUUUAAUGCCGCUACAGAAACAUUAUGAAAUUUAAUAAUGUUUUCCUUACUCGACUUACCUUAUUGCGACGAUCCUAAGAUUAAUAAAUUAAUAGGUCUCACUCUUUCUAGUUUUCUAGUAUAGCUGAAUUCGAAACUAAUCGUCUUAAAGAGCGGCAAAUGCAAGGUAGAUCUGUAGCUAAAAAAGCCUGCAAAUAUCGGGGAAGAAAAACGAUAAUUGACGACAAAUUGAUCUCUGAAGUUAAAUAUUUAAAGCAACAAAAGAUGCUUUUUGUCACACAGAUUGUAAAUAUUACUGGAAGAAGUCGGAAUACUAUCUAUAAAGUUUUAAAAUCGAUUAAUCAAUCUGGAGGACGACCCACAAAAACUAAGGAUAGAUCUACCCUUAGAAAAUGCAGUAUCCGACCAGGAUCGAAAACGAAUUAAAGCAGACAUGUUUGGAACAUUAUUAGUAAAAACAAUUAUAUGAGGUGAUUUAAACCUUAAUCGCUUAAACCGUCCAUAAAAAGUUGAGUCUACUCGACCAUUUUUGAUAUUUUCAAUAGUUGAAUAUAAAGCUUCUACGUUAGCAUUAUUUUCGUUUCGAGUCAUAUCUAUUAUUAUUGUUGUUGGGUAAACUUUAUUUAACACUACAUAUUGUUCUAAUUGAUCAAUAAAAGCUGCUAUCCAUCUUUCAGGAGAUGCUAACUGAGGAGCUAAUAAUGCAUUAAAUUCUGGAUUUAAAGUAAUAUAAUCCGCUGUUAGCGAUUUUCCGCUCCCACCUUCUGGAUUAAAUAUAAAAUUUACCUCGCGGCGUUCCGGUUUCAUUUUAAUCAAUGCGAAUAUUGCUUGUUGGUACAAACGAGGAUGGUCAUGAACUUUUUUAAUUCUUUAUCUUCUUCUAGUGCUUCAAUAAAGUCACUUAUCCGAACAUCAACUGAUGGUGGAUAAUAAAUUGUUGAUGGAAGUACUAAUCUUGUUUCUGAUUUUAAACAAUAUUUUUCUAAUAAAUCAACAUUAUGUGUCGGCUCAACACUUAUUGAGUUGCAAGGUUUGACACCAUAUAGAGCUAAUGAUAACUCACCUAACACUGUUGAAGUCAAAACUUUGCAUGAAGUCAUUACUGAUAGAUUAUAAUGAGGUCGACCAUUAUUUAGACCUUUCUCUAAUUGACCGAUAAAAUGUUCGAAUCUAAACCUUCGAACUCUUGAUUUAUCUACAUUCGAAUUUUGAGCAAUUCCCUCAAAAUUCUUGAGAAAAGUUCCUAGCUCCAUUGGAGUUAUAAACUUUAAUUUAACCAUACUUUCAACUAUCUCAUCGGUUGUUAAUGAUUCCCAAUUAAUAGUUUCUCCUUUACGAACGUUUAAAACUAUUGAAAAAUAUUGAAAACGUUCAUUAAUUUUCUUACUUCUCAUAUAAUCAGACCUAAUUAAACUGGGCUGUUAGGCGAUGACUUUGUCAUCGGUUAAACCACCUAACAGCCCAAUCAUUCAUUUAUAUAGUUUAUUAUUAUUUCUAUGUGUAAAUGAUGUAUUUCGUCUAAAAAUACUCUUAAACCCCUAUAAAUCAAGGUUUAAAAAUACAACAAAUCGUACAUCAUUAAAAUCAGCGAUGUAUUUUUUUCCGUAAACAGUCUUAAAACCUUUAUAUGUCAGGGUUUAAGAACUGUUUAAAGUGAUGAUUUUUGAAAUUUGAUCUUGUUUUAAAGUUGAUAUUUCAAGGUUUAAAAAUACAUCGGAUUCUUAUAAAAUUGUAAAUUUUUAUUCUCGAUUUAGAAUUUUCAUCAUUAUGAAUGCCAUGCCAACACAACCUAAUCCUAAUAAGUAAUCACCACUACUAAAAAAAGCUCCGCAUAUACUAAGAGCUCCAGUACCUGCUGCAACUUUAUGCUUCUCUGGAACAGGUUUAAAACCAUUAUUAGGUGCUGGUGCAUUAGCUUUAGAUGGAACUCGAUCUGUUGAAGGACAACUAUCACUUGCAUUAACUGCACUCGUUGUUAAUGAAUAGAUUGAAUAUAACAUCAAAGCUGUAUUAGCACCUCGAAUAAACUCUUUUUGAGACCCACUUACUUUUCUAUUAAUUUUAUUUUCUUCUUCUUCUGUUAAACAACUACUAUAUGAAUAAGCUAAAUAUAAUGACAUAAAUAUACUUUUUAUAAAAAUAUAACUUGAAAUUUUAAUGACGAAAUAAUAUAAUAAUUAUAUCUUCGUUUCGUCACAUUUUUUUAAGUGCUUGUGUGCACAUCUUACCUUUAUACAUCAAUUGAUGUAUAGAGUCAAUAGUUUAUAUCUUCUGAUAAAAUUUUAUUUAAUAACUCCUGAACUGGCUCAGGUGCAUUCGUGUGUGUUUUUGUUCUUCGAUCACCAUCGAAUUGCUUUUUAUUUAUAUGACCAUCCUUAUUUAUUAAUGCUGACAUGAUACUUUUAGUCAUGUUGGCAUCUAAUAUUUUUUUGUAAAAAUUUUCUUGAUCUUCAUCCCGACUAACUCUUGCUUUAUAAUACCAUGUAACCAGAGAUUUACUAUAAGUCUCUAUUUUUAAAUUAACUUCACACUUGACAAUUGUAUAAUUAUGGUCUUUGUCUGCUAAAGCAAAUAAAUUAAAUCUAUCUGACGACAGAGCAGACAUAUUUGGAACAUUAUUAGUAAAAACAAUUAUAUGAGGCGAUUUAAACCUUAAUCGUUUAAACCGUCCAUAAAAAGUUGAGUCUACUCGACCAUUCUUUAUAUUUUCAAUAGUUGAGUAUAAAGCUUCUACGUUAGCGUUAUUUUCGUUCCGAGUCAUAUCUAUUAUUAUUGUUGUUGGGUAUAAACCUUAUUUAACAGUACGUAUUGCUCUAAUUGAUCAAUAAAAGCUGCUAUCCUAACUGAGGAGCUAAUAAAGCAUUAAAUUCUGGAUUAAAUCUAAAAUUUACCUCACGCCGUUCCGGUUUCAUUCUAAUCAAUGCGAAUAUUACUUGUUGGUACAAAUGAGGAUGGCUAUGAACUUUUUUAGCUCUUUAUCUUCUUCCCGUGCUUCAAUAAACUCACUUAUCCGAAUAUCGACUAAUGGUGGAUAAUAAAUGGUUGAUGGAAGCACUAAUCUUGUUUCUGAUUUUAAACAAUAUUUUUCUAAUGAGUUAACAUCAUGUGUCGGCUCAACACUUAUUGAAUUACAAUUUUUGACAUCAUAUAAAGCUAAUGAUAACUCACGUACAACGGUUGAAGUCAAAACUUUGCAUGAUGUCAUUACCAAUACAUUAUAAUGAGGACGCCCAUUAUUUGAACCUUUCUCUAACUGACCGAUAAAACGUUCAAAUCUAAAUCUUCGAACUCUUGAUUUAUCUACAUUCGAAUUUUGAGCAAUUCCCUCAAAAUUCU
rnacentral:rRNA from 1 species